rnacentral:rRNA from 1 species
UACGAAGGGGGCUAGCGUUAAUCGGAAUUACUGGGCGUAAAGCGUGCGCAGGCGGUGAUGUAAGACAGGUGUGAAAUCCCCGGGCUUAACCUGGGAACUGCAUUUGUGACUGCAUCGCUGGAGUGCGGCAGAGGGGGAUGGAAUUCCGCGUGUAGCAGUGAAAUGCGUAGAUAUGCGGAGGAACACCGAUGGCGAAGGCAAUCCCCUGGGCCUGCACUGACGCUCAUGCACGAAAGCGUGGGGAGCAAACAGG